rnacentral:rRNA from 2 species
AAGGCCCAGACAGCCAGGAUGUUGGCUUAGAAGCAGCCAUCAUUUAAAGAAAGCGUAAUAGCUCACUGGUCGAGUCGGCCUGCGCGGAAGAUGUAACGGGGCUAAACCAUGCACCGAAGCUGCGGCAGCGACACUAUGUGUUGUUGGGUAGGGGAGCGUUCUGUAAGCCUGUGAAGGUGUACUGUGAGGUAUGCUGGAGGUAUCAGAAGUGCGAAUGCUGACAUAAGUAACGAUAAAGCGGGUGAAAAGCCCGCUCGCCGGAAGACCAAGGGUUCCUGUCCAACGUUAAUCGGGGCAGGGUGAGUCGACCCCUAAGGCGAGGCCGAAAGGCGUAGUCGAUGGGAAACAGGUUAAUAUUCCUGUACUUGGUGUUACUGCGAAGGGGGGACGGAGAAGGCUAUGUUGGCCGGGCGACGGUUGUCCCGGUUUAAGCGUGUAGGCUGGUUUUCCAGGCAAAUCCGGAAAAUCAAGGCUGAGGCGUGAUGACGAGGCACUACGGUGCUGAAGCAACAAAUGCCCUGCUUCCAGGAAAAGCCUCUAAGCAUCAGGUAACAUCAAAUCGUACCCCAAACCGACACAGGUGGUCAGGUAGAGAAUACCAAGGCGCUUGAGAGAACUCGGGUGAAGGAACUAGGCAAAAUGGUGCCGUAACUUCGGGAGAAGGCACGCUGAUAUGUAGGUGAAGUCCCUCGCGGAUGGAGCUGAAAUCAGUCGAAGAUACCAGCUGGCUGCAACUGUUUAUUAAAAACACAGCACUGUGCAAACACGAAAGUGGACGUAUACGGUGUGACGCCUGCCCGGUGCCGGAAGGUUAAUUGAUGGGGUCAGCGCAAGCGAAGCUCUUGAUCGAAGCCCCGGUAAACGGCGGCCGUAACUAUAACGGUCCUAAGGUAGCGAAAUUCCUUGUCGGGUAAGUUCCGACCUGCACGAAUGGCGUAAUGAUGGCCAGGCUGUCUCCACCCGAGACUCAGUGAAAUUGAACUCGCUGUGAAGAUGCAGUGUACCCGCGGCAAGACGGAAAGACCCCGUGAACCUUUACUAUAGCUUGACACUGAACAUUGAGCCUUGAUGUGUAGGAUAGGUGGGAGGCUUUGAAGUGUGGACGCCAGUCUGCAUGGAGCCGACCUUGAAAUACCACCCUUUAAUGUUUGAUGUUCUAACGUGGACCCGUAAUCCGGGUUGCGGACAGUGUCUGGUGGGUAGUUUGACUGGGGCGGUCUCCUCCUAAAGAGUAACGGAGGAGCACGAAGGUUGGCUAAUCCUGGUCGGACAUCAGGAGGUUAGUGCAAUGGCAUAAGCCAGCUUGACUGCGAGCGUGACGGCGCGAGCAGGUGCGAAAGCAGGUCAUAGUGAUCCGGUGGUUCUGAAUGGAAGGGCCAUCGCUCAACGGAUAAAAGGUACUCCGGGGAUAACAGGCUGAUACCGCCCAAGAGUUCAUAUCGACGGCGGUGUUUGGCACCUCGAUGUCGGCUCAUCACAUCCUGGGGCUGAAGUAGGUCCCAAGGGUAUGGCUGUUCGCCAUUUAAAGUGGUACGCGAGCUGGGUUUAGAACGUCGUGAGACAGUUCGGUCCCUAUCUGCCGUGGGCGCUGGAGAACUGAGGGGGGCUGCUCCUAGUACGAGAGGACCGGAGUGGACGCAUCACUGGUGUUCGGGUUGUCAUGCCAAUGGCACUGCCCGGUAGCUAAAUGCGGAAGAGAUAAGUGCUGAAAGCAUCUAAGCACGAAACUUGCCCCGAGAUGAGUUCUCCCUGACUCCUUGAGAGUCCUGAAGGAACGUUGAAGACGACGACGUUGAUAGGCCGGGUGUGUAAGCGCAGCGAUGCGUUGAGCUAACCGGUACUAAUGAACCGUGAGG